UGUAUAUAAACAGCAAUAGGCACAUUCGAGGUAAGAUGUCGUCUUACUUAAAUAUAUCAAUGAUAAAAUAUGAGGUCAGCUCUUCUUUAGUACUAUUUGUAAUAGCUACUAUAACAAGGUUAGUUACACACUCAACACAACACAAAUAUGAACGUGUACCUCACUAAUUCCUUCAUCCUACGUCUAGACGUCUGUACAACCUCAUGACAUCAUAAUCCUAGCAGCACGAUCAAAAUAUGUUUUGUUCUUAUAACAAAGGAACACUCAACCCAAAAUGAACGGCACACACAUUAAGAUCCUUCGUAGUCAGCUCAAUUAACAUCAACAACAACAAAAAGGACACGCGUGGGCCUUAGCCGUGGACCGUGUGCCAAGAUGAACGUCCUAAUCUGCAGAUAAAACAAAUGAUGCUAGGGACAGCUUAAGGCCGAAAAAAGAAUCAAUUUUUCCGAAUGAAUAGAAAUGCGAUGUUCGCACAGAUUCCGAGAACAAGAGAUUAAGCAGGUCACAAUGUAUGCGCUGACACGUUUGCUGCAGCUUCCGGUGAGUGUUUACGCGCUUUCAGUCAAAAGCCGAAGAAAAACGGUCCACUCAUU